rnacentral:lncRNA from 1 species
ACUGUUCUCGUGGUAGUGAAUAAGUCUCAGGAGAUCUGGUGGUUUUAUAAGGGGAAACCUCUUUCACUUGGAUCUCAUUCUGCCUUGCCUGCCACCAUGUAAGAUGUCCCUUGCUCUUCCACCAUGAUUGUGAGGCCUCUCCAGCCAUGUGAAACUGUCUGUGUAGGUUUUUUCUGGCUACUCCUGUUUCCUCCCACAUCCCAAAGGUGUGCCUAUGAGGUGAACUGCCAUGUCUACACAUCCCAGUAUGAGUGAGUGCAGGUGGUGUGCACGCGCCCUGCGAUGGGAGUGUGUCCUAUUCAGGGCUGGUUCCCGCCUUGCGCCCUAAGCUUUGGAGAUAGGCUUCGGCCACCCUCAACCCUGAACUGGAAUAAGCAGAAAACCACAUCUGGUCAGGAGCCCAGUGUGUCCCACUUGGACAAGAAUAGAAAUCUCUCUUCUGGAAUAUGACCUGAGAUAUCCUGAUGAAGCAGACCACACCUGCCCUCAGAGAUGACCUCAUGAGGAAGCUGAGCUGCAUAACAAACAUCUCUGCUGCUCAGCCACCUCCACUCUUUUUCAACAGACCUUGGAGAUAGCACAGCACCCACACCAAAAAAUCAGGAAGCUCUCUUAUCAGCAAUCUUUCUGUACCUAUGAAAUCAGACAUUCCAGCCAUGGCAGAACCUCCUGAGUGGGCCAGAGCCUCAGAGUCAGGAAAAGCUGGGGCCUAAUGAUGUUUCAAAUCAAAUCACUCUGUAGGGGAUUUUCCAUUUAACAUAUUGUGAUUGUGCAGUAACAUUAGUCUUUGCCAUUUAAUUUAUUAAAUUUUAAAAUCUUAUAAUAUCCUCAA